GAUGAACGCUGGCGGCGUGCCUAAUACAUGCAAGUAGAACGCUGAAGCUUGGUGCUUGCACCGAGCGGAUGAGUUGCGAACGGGUGAGUAACGCGUAGGUAACCUGCCUCUUAGCGGGGGAUAACUAUUGGAAACGAUAGCUAAUACCGCAUAAAAGUCGAUAUCGCAUGAUGUUGACUUGAAAGGUGCAAUUGCAUCACUAAGAGAUGGACCUGCGUUGUAUUAGCUAGUUGGUGAGGUAACGGCUCACCAAGGCGACGAUACAUAGCCGACCUGAGAGGGUGAUCGGCCACACUGGGACUGAGACACGGCCCAGACUCCUACGGGAGGCAGCAGUAGGGAAUCUUCGGCAAUGGGGGCAACCCUGACCGAGCAACGCCGCGUGAGUGAAGAAGGUUUUCGGAUCGUAAAGCUCUGUUGUAAGAGAAGAACGAGUGUGAGAGUGGAAAGUUCACGC
rnacentral:rRNA from 1 species